rnacentral:rRNA from 1 species
UACGAGUGCCCCAAGCGUUAUCCGGAAUCAUUGGGCGUAAAGGGUGUGUAGGCGGUUGUGUUAGUCUUCUGUUAAAAUCCCGGGCUCAACCCGGGACCUGCAGAGGAAACGGCACGACUCGAGGAUGCGAGAGGUGAAUGGAACUCAUGGAGUAGGGGUGAAAUCCGUUGAUAUCAUGGGGAACACCAAAAGCGAAGGCAAUUCACUGGCGCAUUCCUGACGCUGAGACACGAAAGCGUGGGUAGCGAACGGG